UUUUUUAUAGUGUAUAAAACAUAUUACAUUUUCGAUGUAAAGCUGAAGACUCCUUCUUCUAAAAAUA
rnacentral:tRNA from 1 species